CACGCACCGUUAUGGGCUGCUGUAAGAAGAAAGACAGGGAGGUUCAGGGUGAAGCUAAUGAAUUAUACAUGGCAAUGUAUUAAGAAGAAAAUAGCUGAUGCAAAUACAGAAAAAGAAGAGGACUAAAGAGUACCACUUCUUUCCGAAGAGAGUGGUUCUUUACCUCAGGGUCACGGUCCUUCUCCCUACAGGCUCGGACCUCAUUGUACAGCUUGGAGGAAGAGAUGGGAGCCAGAAAGGAAGUGUACUCCCCAGGGAUGCUCACACCGUCAUCUGCACAGCAGGAUGGUCAAAUUAGUUCCAGAGGGAGGGAAAUGGAGGUAAGAGAAGCAACACCCAUCCCAGGAUUCUCAUGGACUCACCCACUGCAAUCCUCUUACUAUAGUCACACAAAGUCCGGAAGUUGUGCCACCUGUUCAGUCAAAUACAGAAAAGUACAGUCAACUAGAUAUGGCCGACCAAUCACCACAGCUCAAGGAGACCUCCCUACAGGUUGCACCCUGUACUUCCCCUCACUCUAUCCCUUGCACCCUGGUACAGCAGCAAAGGGAGACAUACCACAUCCACGUUUUCUCCUCUCCACUGUACUCCUGUGUGUGUGUAGUUGGUGCAUUCUCAAUUAUAUCAUCUCUCAGGUCCUCUGGUGCCACCAAGGGUACCCGCAUCCAGAACUGCACAUGAA
rnacentral:antisense_RNA from 1 species